rnacentral:rRNA from 1 species
CCUACGGGGGUCAGCAGUGGGGGAUAUUGCACAAUGGGGGGAACCCUGAUGCAGCGACGCCGCGUGGGUGAAGGAGCGUUUCGGCGCGUAAAGCCCUAUCGGCAGGGAAGAAGCUGACGGUACCUGACCAAGAAGCCCCGGCUCACUACGUGCCAGCAGCCGCGGUAAUACGGCGGGGGCCAGCGUUAUCCGGAUUUAUUGGGUUGAAAGGGGGCGCAGGCGGAUUUUUAAGUCAGCGGUAAAAUCGUGGGGCUCAACCCCAUCCAGCCGUUGAACCUGGGGAUCUAGAGUGUGCGAGAGGUAUGCGGAAUGCGUGGUGUAGCGGUGAAAUGCAUAGAUAUCACGCAGAACCCCGAUUGCGAAGGCAGCAUACCGGUGCACAACUGACGCUCAGGCACGAAAGCGUGGGUAUCGAACAGGAUUAGAUACCCGAGUAGUC